AAGCAGCUUGUCGCACCAACAGAGAUUCACCUUCCAAGAGUCUGAUCACAAGCAUUUGCUAUCCAGAGCUGAAGAAAUUUUCAAAUGCAGCAACAAGAUGGGGUUGCCAGCAUGAAGAGGUGGCAAGAGACAAAUAUCGGAAAUGGGUAAACACAAACCAUGAAAAUGUUUCAGUAACAAACAGUGGAUUCUGGAUUCAUUUGACCCAUGGAUCUCUUGGUGCUUCUCAAGAUGGGCUUGUCUCUUGCCAAUGUUGUGGCAAUGGGAUUUGGGAAAUAAAGUGUCCAUUUUGCCAUAAAGAUGAGACAGUUGAAACUUCAAUAGAUGAAAGGUUAUGGCUCAGUUGUCAUGCACAGGUUUGAGCUACUGUGAUUUUGUUGUGUGGACAGAGAAAGACUUGUUUGUUGAACGAAUCUUUCAAAAUAACGAAUUUCUAGAAAGGAAGAUAGAGGCAGCAAAGAAAUUUGUGUUGAGGAGACUUCCAGAGUUAACUGGAAAAUGGUACUGAAGACCCAAAAAAUUGAAUAAAUGAAAUAUAAUGAA